rnacentral:tRNA from 1 species
ACCUGGCUAGCUCAGUGAGUAGAGCAUGUAACUCUUGAUCUCAGGGCCAUGAGUUCAAGCCCCAUGCUGAGCG